rnacentral:rRNA from 1 species
GACGAACGCUGGCGGCGUGCUUAACACAUGCAAGUCGAACGGAAAGGCCCUGCUUUUGUGGGGUGCUCGAGUGGCGAACGGGUGAGUAACACGUGAGUAACCUGCCCUUGACUUUGGGAUAACUUCAGGAAACAGGGGCUAAUACCGGAUAGGAGCUCCUGCUGCAUGGGGGGGGUUGGAAAGUUUCGGCGGUUGGGGAUGGACUCGCGGCUUAUCAGCUUGUUGGUGGGGUAGUGGCUUACCAAGGCUUUGACGGGUAGCCGGCCUGAGAGGGUGACCGGCCACAUUGGGACUGAGAUACGGCCCAGACUCCUACGGGAGGCAGCAGUGGGGAAUAUUGCACAAUGGGCGGAAGCCUGAUGCAGCAACGCCGCGUGCGGGAUGACGGCCUUCGGGUUGUAAACCGCUUUCGCCUGUGACGAAGCGUGAGUGACGGUAAUGGGUAAAGAAGCACCGGCUAACUACGUG